rnacentral:rRNA from 1 species
CAAUAGCGUAUAUUAAAGUUGUUGCAGUUAAAAAGCUCGUAGUUGGAUUUCUGGUAGGAGUGACCGUUCCGAACUUGAUUGUUCGUGUAUUGUGUUUUCUCCAGCCAUCCUUGUGGAGAACUUUUCUUGCAUUAAUUUGUAGGGAUUGGGACCCGCAUCGUUUACUGUGAAAAAAUUAGAGUGUUUAAAGCAGGCAAUCGCUUGAAUACAUUAGCAUGGAAUAAUAAGAUAGGACUUUGGUACUAUUUUGUUGGUUUGCAUACCAAAUUAAUGAUCAACAGGAACAGUUUGAGGAUAUUCGUAUGAACAUGUCAGAGGUGAAAUUCUUGGACUUUGAUCAGACGAACUACUGCGAAAGCAUUUAUCAAGGAUGUUUUCAUUAA